CUUAGCCUACGGGGGGCAGCAGUGAGGAAUAUUGGUCAAUGGGCGCGAGCCUGAACCAGCCACGUCGCGUGAGGGAUGACGGCCCUACGGGUUGUAAACCUCUUUUGUCGGGGAGCAAAUCCCGUUACGUGUAACGGAGUCGAGAGUACCCGAAGAAAAAGCAUCGGCUAACUCCGUGCCAGCAGCCGCGGUAAUACGGAGGAUGCGAGCGUUAUCCGGAUUUAUUGGGUUUAAAGGGUGCGUAGGCGGAAUGCCAAGUCAGCGGUAAAAUCGCGGGGCUCAACCUCGCUCCGCCGUUGAAACUG
rnacentral:rRNA from 1 species